ACAGCAGUAGCCGCGGUAAUACGUAGGUGGCAAGCGUUGUCCGGAAUUAUUGGGCGUAAAGGGCUCGCAGGCGGUUUCUUAAGUCUGAUGUGAAAGCCCCCGGCUCAACCGGGGAGGGUCAUUGGAAACUGGGAAACUUGAGUGCAGAAGAGGAGAGUGGAAUUCCACGUGUAGCGGUGAAAUGCGUAGAGAUGUGGAGGAACACCAGUGGCGAAGGCGACUCUCUGGUCUGUAACUGACGCUGAGGAGCGAAAGCGUGGGGAGCGAACAGGAUUAGAUACCCCCGUAGUCCCUGUCUCUUAUAA
rnacentral:rRNA from 1 species